rnacentral:tRNA from 1 species
UGGGGAGUCGCCAAGCGGCCCAAGGCACCGGGUUUUGAACCCGGCAAUAUCGAAGGUUCGAAUCCUUCCUCCCUAG